AGAGAGAGAGAGAGAGAGAGAGAGAGAGAGAGAGUACUAGAUCAAACAUGCACAGCUAUAUAUGAACUUCGUCCAAAGUCUUCCACUUUCCUUUUCCUGCCAUUCACAAAUCUCAACGCCCUUUCUUUAACCAAAGUAUUCUGCCAGUGCCCGCUGGGUCUACUCGGAGAACUCUGUCCAGGAUGAACUAAUAAACUUCCCUCCUCAGAAUCCAAGGAUGACUGCCCUGGCCAGUCCAAGGGCUGCUCUGAAUACGUGGAGGACUUGGAGGAAAAGUAAUUAUUAUUCUGUCAUGUCAACAAGCGGAGGUUCCUAAUCUCGCAACAUUUUCGGGUCGUACAAAGCUGCGACCCGUGUUGAAGCUGGUGGUCACUGCAAGAACAAAGGGAUUAAGGAAGAUGCCUCUGCCGUACCAGCUGCGUCGGCUCUCACAGGCUGCCCAGACACCACUCUUUAAGACUAAUGUAAACAAACGCGCAGCCGCCAACUUCAUGUUGAAACCGCAGAUCCCGUGAAUAUUCGAAAUGUGGAAUUUUGAAGCAGUUUAAUCCCUCCUAGAAAAUGUUAACCCCCCCUCC